rnacentral:rRNA from 1 species
UGAGGAAUAUUGCUCAAUGGCCGCAAGGCUGAAGCAGCAACGCCGCGUGAGGGAUGAAGGUUCUACGAAUCGUAAACCUCUGUAGAAUGGGAGAAAUAUCACGAUUUUUCGUGAAUGAUAGUACCAAUAAAGUAAGCCCCGGCUAACUACGUGCCAGCAGCCGCGGUAAUACGUAGGGGGCAAGCGUUGUCCGGAAUCACUGGGUGUAAAGGGUGCUCAGGCGGAUUCAUAAGUCAGAGGUGAAAUCCUGCAGCUUAACUGCAGAACUGCCUUUGAUACUGUGGGUCUAGUGUUCGGGAGAGGGUAAUGGAAUUCUUGGUGUAGCGGUGAAAUGCGUAGAUAUCAAGAAGAACACCAGUUGCGAAGGCGGUUACCUGGCCCGAUACAGACGCUCAAGCACGAAAGCGUGGGGAGCAAACAGG